rnacentral:rRNA from 1 species
AGUUGAGCGGGAUUUAAGGUGCUUGCACCUUAAUGAGAGUGGCGCACGGGUGAGUAAUACAUAGGAACAUACCAAGAAGUGGGGGACAACAGUUGGAAACGACUGCUAAUACCGCAUAAUCCCUGAGGGGGAAAGGCUUCGGCUGCUUUUUGAUUGGCCUAUGGUAGAUUAGCUAGUUGGAGGGGUAAUGGCCCACCAAGGCAACGAUCUAUAGCUGGUCUGAGAGGACGAUCAGCCACACUGGAACUGAGACACGGUCCAGACUCCUACGGGAGGCAGCAGUGAGGAAUAUUGGGCAAUGGAGGCAACUCUGACCCAGCCAUGCCGCGUGAGUGAAGAAGGUUUUCGAAUUGUAAAGCUCUUUCGGAUGUGAAGAUAAUGACGGUAGCAUCUAAAGAAGCCCCGGCAAACUUCGUGCCAGCAGCCGCGGUAAUACGAAGGGGGCAAGCGUUGUUCGGAAUUACUGGGCGUAAAGGGUGCGUAGGUGGAUUUGUAAGAUAGCGGUGAAAUGCCGGGGCUCAACCUCGGAAUUGCCGUUAUAACUAUAGGUCUAGAAUUAUAGAGAGGUUAGUGGAAUACCCAGUGUAGAGGUGAAAUUCGUAGAUAUUGGGUAGAACACCAGUGGCGAAGGCGACUAACUGGCUAUAUAUUGACACUGAGGCACGAAAGCAUGGGGAUCAAACAGGAUUAG